GGGGGUGAUACAGGUUGCUCUGCUUCAUCUCCUGACCCUUCUGACACUUGAUAAUCCUCUUCAUCUAUAGGAUUAUGAAUUCUAUUGGGUAAAGCAUCUUCAUUAGAGACAGAAAUGGGUAGUAUAAACAUCAUCAAGAAGGUACUCAACAAAAGAUUCUGGAAGCUCAUGAAUUAUAGUUCUGAUAGAUACAGACUUGAAUUUUG
rnacentral:misc_RNA from 1 species